GCGAAUAUACGUCGCGUUUCACAACUGCUCUGCCUCUCUCGUGAGCUGUUCGUCUCUCUCUCUCUCUCUCUCUCUCUCUCACUCUCUCUCCCCUUCUCUGGCUUUCGUUUCCUCCGGCUGAGCAGACAAGUGUCCAAGCUGUUUUGCCUCACGCUAUUCUACAUGCGCGAGUGCCGGAGGUCCGCCACCGCUGCAGUCGCUUAUAGGGAAGACAUUUACCAGACCAGAUGAACAGCUGAUCAAUCAGGGUGAGAGAUGCUAGCGUGCGUGUACCCGGCCGAAAGUUUCAAGUCGAGAAUGGUGACGCUGCGGCUGAGGCAGCAUUCACGGCCAUCCAAGAGACGUAGCGCCAAAAUCGUCUCCGUCAAGGAGAGAAUCGACCACAGAGCCGAGCAGACCGUUGUUAAUAACAAUGAGUUACCAGUGGGCGGGGGCGGGUGCCGUGCUGGUGCUCAGCGAACUUGAAAGCAUGGCGUCGCGCCAGCAGCGGGAGAUCGCCCAGCAACGCCGACUCCUCGAGCAGCGAGAGGCUCGGCUCGCCGUCCUUCGCGGAG